AAAAUAAUUAAGCUAGCAUCCAAACCAAACCAAACUACAUGCGUUUUCCACCCAGACCAAUCCAAACCAUAUGCCAUUUAUGGAUUUAACCCAUAGUUUCAAUCCAUGGACAAGGAAUAAGAAUGGCAACCCAGUUUUACUAGGAAAAGGAUAGCUUGCUGACUAACUAAGUAGCCGUUGGAUGUUACAGCAUGGGGUCUAAAAUUAUUACACAGAAUGCUGGAUGUUACACAAUAACUCAGUUACAGAAUGCAUUUUACAUAGUUGCUGGACAUCCAUCUCCCUUUCUGAAUGGUUUCUUCUACCCCGGCUUUCUUCUUGAUACCUGAGUAUUAUCAGGUACAUCAGAAUGAUAUAUAGCAAUCGCCGCACUUUAACACGAACCAUAUCUCACUAGUAGAACACAGAUUUCUUCAAUUCAAAAAAAAUUGCAGGCUUAGAAGAAUAUCAAUUCUAUGGUUGCUACGCUCUGUUUUUAUCUUCACAUGGAAAGCAAGAAUUCCCUAUGGAUGCUUCUAAAGAAACAAAGAAAAAUUGGACGUCCAUCACAUCCCUGUCCCAUAAACAGUACAGAAGGUAGUGCUCUAAAUCGUUAAUGUGGUAAGAAAUAACUCCGAAACAAUGGUGCUACAAGAUAUUAGGGACAUUGAUUCCUUUUUGCGUCACUACAGCUUACAAAAACAGAAAUAGCCCUCAGCUUGCUGAAAGAAUAAUUCUCUUGUAUGCUUAGUUUCUGAAGAAUAACAGAGGACGCGCAACUUAGGAGCAGGUCUGCAACCACAUGACUAAGAUUCUGGAAAGUGUACAGCAAGGAUGAUAAUUUUUGUUUGUGCCAUAAGAAUGUGCAGGUUAACGCACGUUGGUUAUCCAAUGCACUAUAUUUCAGCAACAAAAGAACACAUUUGAUAGAGUUACAACGGCAUCCAGGAGGUCAGAGUGGCAUAACCAGCAGAAUCAGAGACUUGAAGCAAUGCACUAACUUGCCCAUUCCUCUACUUGGACCAAACCACAACAUAAAACCACGUCUAAUCGAUUCAAGUAAUCCGAUGUUCCACAGAUCACACAGAGUUCAACAGAUUACAAUACCAUUUCUGAACAGAAAACCACAGGGAAUAUUUAUUUACGCACAAAUAUUGCAAUGGUCUUCUUGAACUGCUAAUGUAAAAUAAUAGAGGAGGUCAGCAGUGUCAUAACCACUUUAUUAAAAACAGAGGAGGUGAGCAAUGACAAAAGCAGAGAUGCACAGCAGCACAUGAUUCAUGUCCAAGAUGAAAAAUUUCACACAAGAUUCAGUCCCCAAAUCUCACACAAUAGGUAACAGGCAUCGAUCAAAUGUUUCAGAAUCCAACCAACUUUUGCAGCCGUAUCUUGAGUCACCGGCGGCGUCGUCUUGAGUUACCUGCAGAGACGAGUAAGGUUCAGAGAGAGAGAGAGAGAGAGAGAGAGAGAGAGAGAGGAUGCACUGACCUGCCGAGCUCCAGCCAGCGGCAACUGCAGCGUCAGCCGGCGAGCCCUAACCGCAGCGGUGAGCGGCGGCCAAGCUCCAGCCAAGGGAGGGGAAGGCGGCGACCAUGCUCCAGCCGGCGGCAACGACAGCGGCAGCAGAAGAUCCCUCGAUUUGGUCGGCGGCGGCAGCGGAAGAUCCUACGAGUGGCGGGCGGCGGCCAUCGCUCGCAGAGUACAGAG
rnacentral:lncRNA from 1 species